UUUUUCCGGGGCGGUCAUUCACCGUGCUUAUCCGGGGUUUCUUGCCCCGGCCUCAUUGAAGC
rnacentral:other from 1 species